rnacentral:rRNA from 1 species
UACGUAGGUGGCGAGCGUUGUCCGGAUUUACUGGGUGUAAAGGGCGUGUAGGCGGGAUAGCAAGUCAGGUGUGAAAUACCAAGGCUCAACCUUGGGGCUGCACUUGAAACUGUUAUUCUUGAGUGUCGGAGAGGGAAGCGGAAUUCCUAGUGUAGCGGUGAAAUGCGUAGAUAUUAGGAGGAACACCAGUGGCGAAGGCGGCUUUCUGGACGAUAACUGACGCUGAGGCGCGAAAGCGUGGGGAGCAAACAGA